AUAUAAGAGAGACCCGAAACCUCUAUAUUUUAGCUCUUUGUAGGGUUUCCUAAGCUAGAGUUUUUCCUUCUCUUCUGGGUUAGAUUUGUAGAGAACUGCAGCUUUUUCCAAUGGCAGAAGAGCUCCAGUUCACACCGCGAAUGGAGAACAAGUGGAAGUACGAAGAUCGAACAACUCCUCCACCUCCAUCGGCCCCUCGUAGCGCUACUGGAUUUUCUGCUUCGAUCGCUUCUACAUCUCCAGAUUCUACUCACUAUCUCACUCCCAUCCUCCUCCUUAUAACAACGUGCCUCCACCCGCCGACGAGAACCAGCUUGCGAAGUAACGCGCACGAGAGAUCGCUGCUUGUCUGUUCAGCAAUGCCGAAGCCAAGCGUCCUCGCGUGGAAAAUGGUGGUCACCCCUAUGAAGCAAAUGAUAAAGGUUUCGGCUCUGGUCCGACGGAUAUUGGGCCGAAACCUCUCGGUCAAGUUGGUAUUGCCCCGCCUUCAAUGGGACCUGCUAUGGUUUCCAGGGUGCGAGUAAGAAGAUCAAUAUCCCAAAUGGAAGAGUGGGUGUUAUCAUUGGGAAUGGUGGAUAGACGAUCAAAUAUCUUGAGCUUCAGUCCGGGGCAAAGAUUCAAGUAAUGAGGGAAAUGAAUGCUGAUCCUAAUUCACUGACUAGAACGGUAGAACUUAUGGGCACUCCAGACCAAAUAAGCAAGGCAGAACGGUUAAUUAACGAUGUUCUUGCUGAGGUGCAUCAGGUUUCACACUGUUAACACUGGUAUACCUUUGGAUCCUCUCCAACUGCUGGGGUGCCCAUUGUUUAUUGGAGACUUUGAGGUCUGUGCCAUGGUCCUUGUGUAGUUUGCAUCCUGAGGUAAGUCUUGUUAUCUUUUAGGUGCAAAGAUGCCAAUGGGAACAUGCUUAACCGAUAUCUUAUCAAAAAAAAAAAAAAAUGCUCAACAGAUAUGUUAUUCUGAUUACCCAAAAUUUAGCUAUAUGCACUUGUAUUUGUUAGGUUUUUUGAUCUUAAAUCAAAUAUCUAUGAAGUUUUCUUAUGAAUCUGAAGACAAGUUUUCUCAACAACCGUUAUUGUUUUUAGUCCUAAACUGAUUGUCAGCCCACCAUUUCUUUUUCCUUGAACCUUUAAUGCCGCCAAGUUGCUUCUCCGUAGGCAUUGAAGUGCUCUGGCUUUUAAGAGUGAUUCCCCGGAAAGUGAUACCAACCUAUUAUUUGAUUUUAGUGGUUUUUUUUUUCAACAGAAAGAGUAAAUGACCUGGUUAACUAAUUAUUCAUAUACCACAGAUUUCAAGAACAUUUCUAUAUUAUUGUUAUUAUUUUAACUCAAACUUUUAAAUUCUGUAAUAUUCUCAUUAUCUAUCAAUAGGACCCAAGAGAACAGAAGAAAUGUACUCCAUGGUUGAUGACCCUCACCAAAUGAGUCUAAUGUCACUAAUCAUCAAUAAACAAGGCAGAAUGUUUCCAGCUGUUUUUUAAUAUGUAGUAUCAUAUUUACACAAGGUACUAAAAAAGAAAAAGAAAACAAGAAAAAAAGAAGAAAACUGCAUAAGUGUAAUCCUUGGAAACGUGGAAAUUGAAUAAAAAAAUAUUACCAGAAGCUGAUGCCAUAGGAUAACCAAUCACGGACCCCAUAGCCAUUAUAAGGUCGCUAUUCACGAUGGAAAGAAAUUCUAAUGCAUAUGUUGAGCUACUUGAUAAGAACCUUGAAGUGAAUGCAUCUUGAUAGUUAGGCCUGACCAACAGUGUAGAUGGUAGGCAUCAGAAAAGCCAAGCCACCAAAUGCAAAUAUAAGGGUCCAAAGAUUCCAAACCCUUGCUAAUGCCAGAACCCGAGAGCGAUUUUCCUGGCCUACACUCAAAUCAUCAAUCAAUCUUCAAGUUGAGUAAACAAA